GGAGGCAUUUAAGAGAUUAUCUUGUCGUAUCUAGUAUAUUUUUUCAUUUACUCAUUCAUACAGGAGUUCUUGGAGCAGCUUGGUGGCCCAGUGGAUAAAGCAUUGGCCAUGGAAUCAGAAAGAUUCAUCUUCCUGAGGUCUAAUGUAACCUCAGACACUAGCUGUGUGACCUUAGAUGCAUGUCCUCAGAAAAGUCUCCUUAUAGCUGCAUGGAAGGGGCCCAGUCUACCCCCUCACAGCCCACUUCCUCUAUGUGAUUACCAUACAACUCACCGGAUUCUGUUUCCUCAACUCUAGUAGGCUUCCACCAGUCGAGGACGACCAUGGAUCAGUG